rnacentral:rRNA from 1 species
AACGAUCGCUGGCGGCAUGCCUAACACAUGCAAGUCGAACGAGACCUUCGGGUCUAGUGGCGCACGGGUGCGUAACGCGUGGGAAUCUGCCCUUGGGUUCGGAAUAACAGUUGGAAACGACUGCUAAUACCGGAUGAUGUCUUCGGACCAAAGAUUUAUCGCCCAGGGAUGAGCCCGCGUAAGAUUAGCUAGUUGGUGGGGUAAAGGCCUACCAAGGCGACGAUCUUUAGCUGGUCUGAGAGGAUGAUCAGCCACACUGGGACUGAGACACGGCCCAGACUCCUACGGGAGGCAGCAGUGGGGAAUAUUGGACAAUGGGCGCAAGCCUGAUCCAGCAAUGCCGCGUGAGUGAUGAAGGCCUUAGGGUUGUAAAGCUCUUUUACCCGGGAUGAUAAUGACAGUACCGGGAGAAUAAGCCCCGGCUAACUCCGUGCCAGCCGCCGCCGUAA